ensembl:lncRNA
ACAGACGUGUAGAUGUGUACACAGACGUGUAGAUGUGUACACAGACGUGUAGAUGUGUACACAGACGUAUACACAGACGUGUAGACGUGUACACAGACGUGUAGACAUGUACACAGACGUAUACACAGAUGUGUAGAUGUGUACACAGACGUGUAGACAUGUACACAGACGUAUACAUAGACGUGUAGACGUGUACACAGACAUGUACACAGACGUGUAGACGUGUACACAGACGUAUACACAGACGUGUAGACGUAUACACAGACGUAUACACAGAUGUGUAGACGUGUGCACAGACAUGUAGACAUGUACACAGACGUAUACACAGACGUGUAGACGUGUACACAGACAUGUACACAGACGUGUAGACGUGUACACAGACGUUAUACAUAGACGUGUAGACUUGUACACAGACGUGUACACAGACGUAUACACAGACGUGUAGAUGUGUACACAGACGUGUAGACGUGUACACAGACGUCUACAGUACACAGACGUGUAGACGUGUACACAGACGUAUACACAGACGUGUAGAUGUGUACACAGACGUGUAGACGUGUACACAGACGUCUACAGUACACAGACGUGUAGACGUGUACACAGACGUAUACACAGACGUGUAGAUGUGUACACAGACGUGUAGAUGUGUACACAGACGUGUAGACGUGUACACAGACGUUUAAUAUUGAUACACAACUGCUGGACAUGUAAAAGUCGCGUUCAGUUGUGUUAGCGUUUUUUUUUUUAUUGCUUGUGGUUAGCUGUUUUAAAUCUGUUCCACUCUCUCUCUCUGAGAAACACUUCCCCCUUUUCCUUUUUUAAUCUGAUAAUUCCUUAUUUUAGACAGCAGAGAGCCUGUGCUGGAGCUCACCAGCUCAGAAUUGGGAACACGUGUCUCACUCUCUCUCUCUGUCUCACUCUCUUUCAUGCUCUCUCUCUCUCUCUCUCUCUCUCUCUCUGACGGUCUCUCUUAUUCACUCUCUCUCACGCUCUCUCUCUCUUUCUGUCUCUCUUUCUCUCUCUCUCUCUCUCUCUCUCUCUGACGGUCUCUCUUAUUCACUCUCUCUCUCACGCUCUCUCUCUCUCUUUCUGUCUCUUUUCUCUCUCUCUCUCUCUCUCCCCGUCUGUCUCUCUUAUUCACUCUCUCUCACUCUCUCUUGUUGUCUUUCUUAUUCUCCCUCUUUUGUCUCUCUUACUUACUCUCUCUUUCUGUUUCUCUUAGUCACUCUCUCUCAUGCUCUCUCUCUCUUUCUGUCUCUCUUACUCGCUCUCUUUCUCUGUCUGUCUCUCUUAGUCACUCUCUCUCUUUCUGUCUCUCUUACUCUCUCUCUCUCUCUCUGUCUGUCU